GUGAGGAAUAUUGGUCAAUGGGCGGGAGCCUGAACCAGCCAAGUCGCGUGAAGGAAGAAGGAUCUAUGGUUCGUAAACUUCUUUUGCAGGGGAAUAAAGUGCAGGACGUGUCCUGUUUUGUAUGUACCCUGAGAAUAAGGAUCGGCUAACUCCGUGCCAGCAGCCGCGGUAAUACGGAGGAUCCGAGCGUUAUCCGGACUUAUUGGGUUUAAAGGGUGCGUAGGUGGUUUGAUGAGUCAGCGGUGAAAGUUUGCAGCUUAACUGUAAAAAUGCCGUUGAAACUGUCGGACUUGAGUGUAAAUGAGGUAGGCGGAAUGCGUGGUGUAGCGGUGAAAUGCAUAGAUAUCACGCAGAACUCCGAUUGCGAAGGCAGCUUACUAAGCUACAACUGACACUGAAGCACGAAAGCGUGGGGAUCAAACAGGAUUAGAAACCCCGGAGUCC
rnacentral:rRNA from 1 species